rnacentral:rRNA from 1 species
GAUGAACGCUAGCUACAGGCUUAACACAUGCAAGUCGAGGGGCAGCAUGGUCUUAGCUUGCUAAGGCCGAUGGCGACCGGCGCACGGGUGAGUAACACGUAUCCAACCUGCCGUCUACUCUUGGACAGCCUUCUGAAAGGAAGAUUAAUACAAGAUGGCAUCAUGAGUCCGCAUGUUCACAUGAUUAAAGGUAUUCCGGUAGACGAUGGGGAUGCGUUCCAUUAGAUAGUAGGCGGGGUAACGGCCCACCUAGUCUUCGAUGGAUAGGGGUUCUGAGAGGAAGGUCCCCCCACAUUGGAACUGAGACACGGUCCAAACUCCUACGGGAGGCAGCAGUGAGGAAUAUUGGUCAAUGGACGAGAGUCUGAACCAGCCAAGUAGCGUGCAGGAUGACGGCCCUAUGGGUUGUAAACUGCUUUUAUAAGGGAAUAAAGUGAGUCUCGUGAGACUUUUUGCUAUGUACUUAUGAAUAAGGACCGGCUAAUUCCGUG